GAGCUAUGUAUUCUGCUGUUAUGUUCCUUGGCGGAACAAACACUUCAACUGUGCAGUCAGUUGUGGCGGUAGAAAGAACAGUCUUUUAUCGAGAAAGAGGUGCAGGGAUGUAUUCUGCGCUGCCUUAUGCAUUCGCUCAGGUGGCCAUAGAGACUAUCUACAUCGCGAUCCAGACUGUUAUUUACAGCCUCAUUCUGUACUCAAUGAUCGGUUUUCACUGGACAGCUGCUAAAUUCUUUUGGUUCUAUUUCUUUGUUUUCAUGAGCUUCGUCUACUUCACAAUGUACGGAAUGAUGCUUGUAGCACUCACUCCAAGCUACCCAAUUGCUGCCAUCGUCAUGACAUUCUUCCUCACUUUGUGGAACUUGUUCUCUGGUUUCCUUAUCCCUAGACCACAAAUUCCGAUAUGGUGGAGAUGGUAUUACUGG
rnacentral:misc_RNA from 1 species